rnacentral:rRNA from 1 species
UACGGAGGGUGCGAGCGUUGUCCGGAAUCACUGGGCGUAAAGGGCGCGUAGGCGGCAUGCCAAGCGUGUGGUGAAAGCCCGGGGCUCAACCCCGGGUCGGCCGUGCGGACUGGCGUGCUCGAGCACUGUAGGGGCGGGUGGAAUUCCGGGUGUAGCGGUGGAAUGCGUAGAUAUCGAGAGGAACACCUGCGGCGAAGGCGGGUUGCUGGGCUGACACUGACGCUGAUGCGCGAAAGCUAGGGGAGCGAACGGG